rnacentral:rRNA from 1 species
CAGCCGCCACGGGAAUACGUAGGUGGCAAGCGUUGUCCGGAAUUAUUGGGCGUAAAGCGCGCGCAGGCGGAUAGGUCAGUCUGUCUUAAAAGUUCGGGGCUUAACCCCGUGAUGGGAUGGAAACUGCCAAUCUAGAGUAUCGGAGAGGAAAGUGGAAUUCCUAGUGUAGCGGUGAAAUGCGUAGAUAUUAGGAAGAACACCAGUGGCGAAGGCGACUUUCUGGACGAAAACUGACGCUGAGGCGCGAAAGCCAGGGGAGCGAACGGGAUUAGAUACCCCCGUAGUCCCUGUCUCUUAUACA